AUAGGGGAGCCGGAGGGAAACCGAGUCUUAACCGGGCGUUAAGUUGCAGGGUAUAGACCCGAAACCCGGUGAUCUAGCCAUGGGCAGGUUGAAGGUUGGGUAACACUAACUGGAGGACCGAACCGACUAAUGUUGAAAAAUUAGCGGAUGACCUGUGGCUGGGGGUGAAAGGCCAAUCAAACCGGGAGAUAGCUGGUUCUCCCCGAAAGCUAUUUAGGUAGCGCCUCGUGAAUUCAUCUCCGGGGGUAGAGCACUGUUUCGGCUAGGGGGCCAUCCCGGCUUACCAACCCGAUGCAAACUGCGAAUACCGGAGAAUGUUAUCACGGGAGACACACGGCGGGUGCUAACGUCUGUCGUGAAGAGGGAAACAACCCAGACCGCCAGCUAAGGUCCCAAAGUCAUGGUUAAGUGGGAAACGAUGUGGGAAGGCCCAGACAGCCAGGAUGUUGGCUUAGAAGCAGCCAUCAUUUAAAGAAAGCGUAAUAGCUCACUGGUCGAGUCGGCCUGCGCGGAAGAUGUAACGGGGCUAAACCAUGCACCGAAGCUGCGGCAGCGAACGUAUCACCCAAGACAACUUUACGGAGUUAACGAUUGACGGAGCGAAGCGACGUCAAAGCGUUCAUUAAAGUCGAGUUGGCUUAGGGAUACGUUCGUUGGGUAGGGGAGCGUUCUGUAAGCCUGUGAAGGUGGCCUGUGAGGGUUGCUGGAGGUAUCAGAAGUGCGAAUGCUGACAUAAGUAACGAUAAAGCGGGUGAAAAGCCCGCUCGCCGGAAGACCAAGGGUUCCUGUCCAACGUUAAUCGGGGCAGGGUGAGUCGACCCCUAAGGCGAGGCCGAAAGGCGUAGUCGAUGGGAAACGGGUUAAUAUUCCCGUACUUGGUGUUACUGCGAAGGGGGGACGGAGAAGGCUAUGUUGGCCGGGCGACGGUUGUCCCGGUUUAAGCGUGUAGGCUGGUUUUCCAGGCAAAUCCGGAAAAUCAAGGCUGAGGCGUGAUGACGAGGCACUACGGUGCUGAAGCAACAAAUGCCCUGCUUCCAGGAAAAGCCUCUAAGCAUCAGGUAACAUCAAAUCGUACCCCAAACCGACACAGGUGGUCAGGUAGAGAAUACCAAGGCGCUUGAGAGAACUCGGGUGAAGGAACUAGGCAAAAUGGUGCCGUAACUUCGGGAGAAGGCACGCUGACAUGUAGGUGAAGUGAUUUA
rnacentral:rRNA from 1 species